rnacentral:tRNA from 11 species
GUCGUUUCAUUCUAGUAUGGAGCUCCUUAACAUUGUACAUCCAUGAUCUCAAAUGAGGGAUUUUAA